rfam:Salmo salar isolate Sally breed double haploid chromosome ssa15, whole genome shotgun sequence.
CUCCCUGUGGCUCAGUUGGUAGAGCAUGGUGUUUGCAACGCCAGCAUGGUGUGUGCAACACCAGGGUUGUGGGUUCGAUUCCCACGGGGAGC